rnacentral:rRNA from 1 species
UACGGAGGGUGCAAGCGUUGUCCGGAUUUAUUGGGUUUAAAGGGUGCGUAGGCGGCUUUAUAAGUCCGUGGUGAAAGCCAACAGCUCAACUGUUGAACUGCCAUGGAUACUGUAGGGCUUGAGUACAGACGAGGUAGGCGGAAUUGAUGGUGUAGCGGUGAAAUGCAUAGAUACCAUCAAGAACACCGAUUGCGAAGGCAGCUUACUAGGCUGUAACUGACGCUGAGGCACGAAAGCGUGGGGAGCGAACAGG